AAUCAACGCUGGCGGCGUGCCUAACACAUGCAAGUCGAACGCGAAAGUGGAGCAAUCCAUGAGUAGAGUGGCAAACGGGUGAGUAACGCGUGGGCGACCUACCUCAGAGUGGGGGAUAACCUUCCGAAAGGAGGGCUAAUACCGCAUGACAUACCGUGUUUGGAUACACGGAUAUCAAAGCCGGGGAUCGCAAGACCUGGCGCUUGGAGAGGGGCCCGCGUCCGAUUAGCUAGUUGGUGAGGUAACGGCUCACCAAGGCUCCGAUCGGUAUCCGGCCUGAGAGGGCGGACGGACACACUGGAACUGAGACACGGUCCAGACUCCUACGGGAGGCAGCAGUGGGGAAUUGUUCGCAAUGGGCGCAAGCCUGACGACGCAACGCCGCGUGGAGGAUGAAGACUUUCGGGUCGUAAACUCCUUUCGACCGAGAUGAAUUCCCUUCGACCUAACACGUCGAAGGGGUGACAGUAUCGAGGGAAGAAGCCCCGGCUAACUCCGUGCCAGCAGCCGCGGUAAUACGGGGGGGGCAAGCGUUGUUCGGAAUUACCU
rnacentral:rRNA from 1 species